UACGUAGGGGGCAAGCGUUGGUCCGGAAUCAUUGGGCGUAAAGCGCGUGUAGGCGGUUCAGUAAGUCUGCUGUGAAAGUCCAGGGCUCAACCCUGGGAUGCCGGUGGAUACUGCUGGACUAGAGUGCGGAAGAGGCGAGUGGAAUUCCCGGUGUAGCGGUGAAAUGCGUAGAGAUCGGGAGGAACACCGGCGGCGAAGGCGGCUGCCUGGACCAGUCCUGACGCUGAGGCGCGAAAGCUAGGGGAGCAAACAGG
rnacentral:rRNA from 1 species